rnacentral:rRNA from 1 species
AAUUAAUAAGAUUGUUUUAUGUUAUUAGGAUAAUAAUAAAUUUAAAUUAAGUAAAUUUUAAGUUAUUGUAUAAUUUAUGGAUUUAAUUAAUUUUACUAUAGUAAAUCAGUACUGUGAAGGAAUUUAUAGUUAUUAAAAUAUAAUUAGAAAAAGGUAUUUUUAUUUAAUGUAUCUUGUGUCUCAGAGUGUAUUAAAAUAGAUUAUUUAUGUUUUUUUUUUCUCGAAUUUAAAAGAUUUAAUUGGAAAUAUUAUUUUUUGUAUCAUAAAAAUUAAUAAUUUUUAAUUGGUAAUGAGAUGUUAUUCGUUUUUAAGGAUAUCUAGUUUUUUAAUAAAUGAAUUCAAUUCARAGUAUAAAAGUUAUUAAAUAUUUUUGAUAUUUAAGUAUUUUUUGUACUUAAUUUUAAAAGGGAUUAACUUUUUAAAAUAUAAUUAUAAUAAAAAAUUAUUARAGGAUUUUAUGAAUUUAGAAUUUGUUAAUAAUUAAAGGAUGUUAAAAUUUAAUUCUUAUUUUAAAAUGAUUUUUAAUUAUUAUUUAAUUUUUACAUUAAAAUGUUAAGUUUAAUUUAAAAUUUUUAGAAAUUAUGAUUUAAUUAGUAAAAUUUAAUUUAUUUAGUAAAAUAAAAAUUGUAAUGUUAAUAUAAAGAAUUAGGCAAAUAUUUUACUCGCCUGUUUAUUAAAAACAUGGUUUCUUGAAUAUAUUUAGGAGAUCUAACCUGCCCACUGAAAAUAUUUUGAAGGGCCGCAGUAUUUUGACUGUGCAAAGGUAGCAUAAUCAUUAGUCUUUUAAUUGAAGGCUGGUAUGAAUGGUUGGACGUAGAGUAAAUACUGUUUUAUGUUAAUUGAAAUUGAAUUUAGAAUUUAAGUAAAAAGACUUAAAUAUUAUUAAGGGACGAGAAGACCCUAUAGAGUUUAAUAAGUUUAAUAAUUAAUUGAGUUAUUAAUUAAUUUUUGGUUUUUAUGAAAUUUAUUUAAUUGGGGUGAUUAGAGAAUAAAGAAAACUCUUCUUUAAAAUUAAUAUUAUUAUUAGUUUUAUGAUCCAUUAUUAAUGAUUAAAAGAUUAAAUUACCUUAGGGAUAACAGCAUAAUUCUUUUUAAGAGUUCAUAUCGAAAAAGGAGAUUGUGACCUCGAUGUUGGAUUAAGAUUAGUUUUGGGUGCAGAUGUUCAAUAACUAGGUCUGUUCGACCUUGAAAAUCUUACAUGAUCUGAGUUUAAACCGGCGUGAGCCAGGUUGGUUUCUAUCUUUAAUUUUAUUAAAUAUUUUAGUACGAGAGGACCAGAUAUUUAAAAUAAUUUUUGUAGCAAUGAAUACUAAUAAAAUGG